GGAAGCAAAGGCUGUGUGAAGACAAAGUAGUGAAGGGGUUUUCCAUGUGAAAAACAAAGAAAGAAUUAUUUGAAUAUUAGCAAAUCCACAACUUCACAUUUCUAGAGAACCCAGGCACAGCCUUGGAGACAUUACUCCUGAGAGACUGCAUUUGUUGGAAGAUGAGCCCCAACUUCUAAAAAUGUAUCACUACCAGGAUUGAGAUACAAACAGCAUUUAGGAAGGUAGCCACGUUCACAUUUUCAGAGCCCAAAGCAAGAUAUGUUACUAAGCUCUUCUUCCCUUUUCUAAUUCUUGCAGGUCUGAUCUGAGUAGCAGCUUCCUGCCCUCCUUCCUGGAGAUAAGUCCGGCUUUUGGUGAGAAAGACUUUCCCUGCCCUCUGCCCGGCCGAUGCCCAUGCUUCUGUGGCUGCUGCUGCUGAUCCUGAGUGAACAGAUGGACUAUAAUGGGACCAGGGCCUCCGUUCCUAAAGCUCCUAGAAGAGAACAAUCAGGGGUAGCUCCAAAAGCUGUACUUCUCCUUGAUCCUCCAUGGUCCACAGCCUUCAAAGGAGAAAAAGUGACUCUCACAUGCAGGGGAAUAUCACAGUCCCCAGCCCGCGGAGACACGUUUUGGUAUCGCGAUGAGAAGCUAUGGAAAAUACAACAUAACGCGAUCCAAAUUAGGGGGUCUGGAAAUUACCAAUGCAAGACCCAAGGAUCCUCCCUCAGUGAUGCUGUGCAUGUGGAAUUUUCACAUGACUUGCUGAUCCUGCAGGCUUCGCAUCCUGUCUUUGAAGGAGAUAAUGUCACCCUGAGAUGUCAGGUGAAAGAAGAUGAAAAAGCUCAUGAAAAGGUUUACUACAAAGAUGGAAAACAGCUUCCUAAUAGUUAUAAUUUAGACUUCAUCAUAGUGAAUUCAGUCUCCAGGGAUAAUAGCAAAUAUUAUUGUACUGCUACUUGGAGGAUACUUUCCAUAGUACCAAUUAAACGAACUUCAAAAAGCCUAAAUAUCCAAGUUCAAGAGCUGUUUCUACAUCCUGUGCUGAGAGUCAGCUCUUCCACGCCCAUAGAGGGGAGUCCCAUGACCCUGAUCUGUGAGACCCAGCUCUCUCCACAGAGGCCAAAAGUCCAGCUGCAAUUCUCCUUCUUCAGAGAUAGUCAGACCCUCGGAUCAGGCUGGAGCACAUCCCCCAAACUCCAGAUCCCUGCCAUGUGGACUGAAGACUCUGGGUCUUACUGGUGUGAGACAGAGACAGUGACUCACAACAUCAAAAAAAGGAGCCUGACAUCUCAGAUACUUGUACAGAGUGUGCCUGUAUCUAAUGUGAAUCUAGAGAUCCAGCCCACCGGAGGGCAGCUGAUUGAAGGAGAAAAUAUGGUCCUUAUUUGCUCAGUAGCCCAGGGUUCAGGGACUGUCACAUUCUCCUGGCACAAAGAAGGAAGAGUAAGAAGCCUGGGUAGAAAGACCCAGCGUUCCCUGUUGGCAGAGCUGCAUGUUCUCAUGGUAAAGGAGAGCGACGCAGGGAGAUACUACUGUGCAGCUGACAACGUUCACGGCCCCAUCCUCAGCAGGCGGAUUCAAGUCACUGUGAGAAUUCCGGUAUCUCACCCCAUCCUCACCUUCAGGGCCCCCAGGGUCCAGGCUCUGGUGGGGGACCUACUGGAGCUUCACUGUGAGUCCCUGAGAGGCUCUCCCCCGAUCCUGUACCGAUUUUAUCAUGAGGAUGUCACCCUGGGGAACAGCUCAGCCGCCUCUGGAGGAGGAGCCUCCUUCAACCUCUCUCUGACUACAGAACAUUCUGGAAACUACUCCUGUGAUGCAGACAAUGGCCUGGGGGCCCAGCACAGUCAUGGAGUGAGUCUCAGGGUCACAGUUCCGGUGUCUCGUCCCAUCCUCACCCUCAGGGCUCCUGGGGCCCAGGCUGUGGUGGGGGACGUGUUGGAGCUUCACUGUGAGUCCCUGAGAGGUUCCUUCCCGAUCCUGUACUGGUUUUAUCACGAGGAUGACACCUUGGGGAAGAGCUCGGCCCACUCUGGAGGAGGGGCAUCCUUCAACCUCUCUCUGACUACAGAACAUUCUGGCAACUACUCAUGUGAGGCUGACAAUGGCCUGGGGGCCCAGCGCAGUGAAGUGGUGACAUUCAGUGUUACAGCUCCCUCCACUCAGGAACUUCCAGGAACAGAACAGGCCUUACCACUGCGGGAGUCACGGGGCUGGUGCUCAGCAUCCUCAGCCUUGCUGCUGCUGCUGCUGCUCUGCUGCACUACGCCAGGGCCCAAAGGAAACCAGGAGGACUUUCUGCCACUGGAACAUCUAGUCACAGUCCUAGUGAGUGCCAGGAGCCUUCCUCGUCCAGGCCUUCCAGGAUAGACCUUCAAGAGCCCACCCACUCUAAACCACUAGCCCCAGUGGAGCUGGAGCCAAUGUACAGCAACGUAAAUCCUGGAGAUAGCAACCUGAUUUAUUCCCACAUCUGGAGCAUCCAACACACAAAAGAAAAUUCAGCUAAUUGUCCAACGAUGCAUCAAGAGCAUAAGGAACUCACAGUCCUCUAUUCAGAACUGAAGAAGAAAUACCCAGAUGACUCUGCAGGGGAGGAUUGCAGCAGAGGCAGGGCCCAUGAAGAUGAUGAAGAAAAUUAUGAGAAUAUGCCACGUGCAUUACUGGCCUCAGACCACUAGCCCCUUACCCAGAGUGGCCCACAGGAAACAGCCUGCACCAUUUUUUUUUCUGUUCUCUCCAACCACACAUCAUCAAUCUCUCCAGACUGCCUCCUACGAGGCUGGGCUGCAGGGGAUGGGAGGCUGCGCAAAAGAUCUGCAAAUCUCCUCUGUGCCUGAGUCUGUGUGUUCCCUAGGAAAAGAGUGGGCAGCCUCUGAGCAAGCACUGUGUUAUUUUCACAGUGGAGACACAUGGCAAGGCAGGAAGGCCCUCAGCUCCUAGGGCUGUCGAAUAGAGGAGGAGAGAGAAAUGGUCUGGCCAGGGUUACAAAGGCACAAUCAUGACCAUUUGAUCCAAGUGUGAUUGAAAGUUGUUAAUGUUCUCUCUGUAUAAACAAUUUGCUCCAAAUAUUGUUUCCUUUUUUGUGUGUGUGGCUGGUAGUGGCAUUGCUGAUGUUUUGGUAUAUAUGCUGUAUCCUUGCUACCAUAUUGGGAACAGCCAUAAGAAGUUAUAGAACAAGAUUUUAAGGUGACUCUAUCUGAAGUGGAUUUUUGUACUUACAGGGUGACAUUCCCAACCAAAUUACCCUUAGUUAUAAUGAAAAAUAACCUCAGCAUUUCAUUAAAGGCUCUGCUAGUUUAAUAUGUGACCUCUAUCCCUACUACAAAGACCUUAUGUGUAAAAAAUCACAUUAAUUGUAAUUUUUGCUACAUGACAUAGUCUCAUCAUUUUCCAUACAUGAUAGAUUUCUAGUCAGUCAGUUUUAUUCUUAUAAGUACCCAUUAACCCCGAGACAAUAACCUACUAUAUCUAUGUGGCUUCUCCCAUUCUCUUCCUCUACCUCACUCCAUCUGCUAAAAAACCAUUCUAAAUCUCAUGUUCAUUAUUCCCAUGCUUUCCUAAUUCUAUCAUAUUAAUGUAACUAUAUGUUUUCCUUAAUAUGUUUUUAUAUUAGUUUUAACUAUAAGUUAAAGACCAUAUUGUUGUAGAUAAUAUUUUUGGUAUUUUCUCUUCGUGUUCUAUUUCUAAGAUUCAUCCAUAUGGUUGCAUGUUGCUAUAGUUCAUUUGUUUUUAUUGCGGUUUAGUAUUUACUUGUGUAAAAUAUCUGUUUUAAUGUUUUCCUAGCUAUCACUGUCAAAAACUCUUUCCACAGUGUCUUGAAUUUUUAAUGUGACAAAAAUGAAAAUGUACCAACAAUUUUUAGUGACUUCACCUCCAUUCUGAAAUCCUGAUGUUUCCAAAUAUCUCUGAACACCUCAAGUCAUAGGGACAACUGAGAUUAUAUUAACAUUAAUCUCUGAAUGUUGUUAAUUCUAAGCCUUCACUUGGUUCAUGUAGGAACACCAAGUCCUUUCAAAGCACCACAUCUUUCUCUAAUCAAUAUUCCUUGGAGUCCCUAAGGAAUGUCUUACAAGCAUUCAACCAAUCACCAUUUCUGGAGAUACACUACAGGGUCACCAUAAACUCUACUACCCUUGGAUUCCAUCACUAUAGAAGCUGAGUUUCACCAGAAGGCACUUUUGUCCUCCAUUACUACCAGCAAAGCCAGCUAAGCCACAGCUGCUGGCCUCAAAAAAUGUGAUGAUCAAUCCACACUGCUCCCACUGGCCUCUCUUACCCUUAUCCUGGCCUUUGAGAGCAGGGCACGAUGUCCUGCCUAUACUGAGGUGCUGAUCUCUGCCAGUUCGUGUUCAUAUUGGCAUUAAAAUUUUAAGUUCCCUUGAAGAGGGAGGAGGCAAAUGUCUCUGUCUUCUAUGUGAUACACUCUGCUGUUUUUUUCUCUAUGGUAAAAAUAUAUAAACAGGUUUGUGUACUAACCACCAGACUGUACAUGGAGGCUCUCCUCCUCUCACACCUUGCUGCUGAUUUGGAAUUACCUUGCCAGGUCCCUUUGUGCCUUAUAGUGAACUUUCUCUAAGGGACCUCUCAUCUUUUAUCAUUGUUUAUCCAUUUUCUAGAUUUUUAAUCCAGGAAAGGACAAAGUUCAAGAUUUUCCAUGUCUUUGUAACACUUAACCCUGUUCAAAUCAGAGUAUGUGAGUGGAAAGAGGAGUGAGUCCUAACUGUACAUUUCAGAUAUAACAAAAGUGCAAAUUCUGAUUGCCCUGUAAAAUGAAUUAUUCUCAUGCAUUGCUCUACUUGACUUUUCCCUUUGAAUUCACAACUAAAAACCCAUAGCCCAGAAAUCUAAAAAACAGUAAUUUUAAUGGAGCCUUUGAAAAUAAAAGACCAUUGGAAAAAG